rnacentral:rRNA from 1 species
GCCAUUCCGCGUGAGUGAAGAAGGCCUUCGGGUUGUAAAGCUCUUUCGGCAGGGAAGAAAUCGCUAGGGGGUAAUAUCCUUGGCGGAUGACGGUACCUGAAGAAGAAGCACCGGCUAACUACGUGCCAGCAGCCGCGGUAAUACGUAGGGUGCGAGCGUUAAUCGGAAUUACUGGGCGUAAAGCGUGCGCAGGCGGUUUUUUAAGCCAGAUGUGAAAGCCCCGGGCUCAACCUGGGAACUGCGUUUGGAACUGAAAGACUAGAGUGUGUCAGAGGGAGGUGGAAUUCCACGUGUAGCAGUGAAAUGCGUAGAUAUGUGGAGGAACACCGAUGGCGAAGGCAGCCUCCUGGGAUAACACUGACGCUCAUGCACGAAAGCGUGGGGAGCAAACAGGAUUAGAUACCCUGGUAGUCCACGCCCUAAACGAUGUCAACUGGUUGUUGGGGAAGCAAUUCCUUAGUGACGAAGCUAACGCGAGAAGUUGACCGCCUGGGGAGUACGGUCGCAAGAUUA